rnacentral:rRNA from 1 species
UACGAAGGGGGCUAGCGUUGCUCGGAAUCACUGGGCGUAAAGCGCACGUAGGCGGCUUUCUAAGUCAGGGGGUGAAAUCCUGGAGCUCAACUCCAGAACUGCCUUUGAUACUGGGGACCUCGAGUCCGGGAGAGGUGAGUGGAACUGCGAGUGUAGAGGUGAAAUUCGUAGAUAUUCGCAAGAACACCAGUGGCGAAGGCGGCUCACUGGCCCGGUACUGACGCUGAGGUGCGAAAGCGUGGGAGGCAA